rnacentral:rRNA from 1 species
CUUUUACGGAGAGUUUGAUCCUGGCUCAGGACGAACGCUGGCGGCGUGCUUAACACAUGCAAGUCGAACGGUGAAGC